AAACCUGGUUCUAGUUUGGAAAAAUGCCGUUUUGAACGCCAUGAACAAGACAUUUGCCGCCACCUGGUGGCAGCAUACUCCUCUCAGAGCCUCCCUGUUUCUAGGGGUGCCGAUGAUCUAGGGCACAGCGGGAUUCAGAGGAGCCCCUGAGCACCGGACCCCCAUCCCAGCUGGCUCGCUGGCAGCACCACAGGCCAGCCAUGCCCACAGCUUGGGCACGUGGCCCCAGCUGCCUGCCCAAGCACCGCGCGGGGCUCCUCAUCCUGCGACUCCCUACGGCGGAAGCCUGGACGGGGGA